AGCCUGAUCCAGCCAUGCCGCGUGCGUGAUGAAGGCCUUCGGGUUGUAAACUGCUUUUGUACGGAACGAAAAGACUCGUUCUAAUAAAGGGGGUCCAUGACGGUACCGUGAGAAUAAGCACCGGCUAACUACGUGCCAGCAGCCGCGGUAAUA
rnacentral:rRNA from 1 species